UUUUUUUUUUUUUUUUUUUUUUUUUUAUUUUCCCACUGUACAGCAAGGGGGUCAGGUCAUCCUUAGAUGUAUACAUUGCAGUUACAGUUUUUUCCCCCACCCUUUCUUCUGUUGCGACAUGAGUAUCUAGACAUAGUUCUCCAAACACUUAUCUUUAAACCACAUAAGUUAUAGAUAUACAUGUUCUAUACAUACACACAUACAUAUUCCAUCCAACUUUAUGUUUCAUAAACUCUUCACAUAAAAAUUCAUUUAGUAAAUGGAAUGAAAUUAGUGCGACUGACAGAAAACAACGUGUUGAAGUCAGGAACUAUACCAUGAGGACUUUAUUGCCUUUCUAAAUAUUUUGGAAACAGUACAACUCGCCCAUGCAUCAUGUUUUCUUGGUGCAUGCGUAAUCAUUUCUCCUCCAACUUCCAAUUAAAAAUUCAUGGGGAUGAGCAUCAAGCAGAGCACAAUGGACCUGAGUCAGUGUGAUGUGGUGGCAAAACACUGAGGUCUUGAAAUUCAAAGCUGUGGUCUCCUGCCCCCUCUACUCAUGCUCCUCCUUGUGUGACUGAUAAUAAUGAUGCGUCUCCUGCCCCCUCUACUCAUGCUCCUCCUUGUGUGACUGAGUAAUAAUGAUGCGUCUCCUGCCUCCUCUACUCAUGCUCCUCCUUGUGUGACUGAGUAAUAAUGAUGCGUCUCCUGCCUCCUCUACUCAUGCUCCUCCUUGUGUGACUGAGUAAUAAUGACUGGGACAAGCGCCAUCCUAGAAAGAUAAGGAGCCAAAACGUCCUGGUCAAAAACAAGAACCUUAAAUCUGAAUGUGUCCACCAUUCCCCGUGCCCAUCCUAGGAGCUUACAUACUGCAUUCUUCCAAAUACUACUUCUUGGAUUCGAAGAUAUGAAAUGAUGUAAUGAUGGGCAGUAAAAUGUAAAUUACGUGGUUGUCGUGGGGGGUGGUCCUCCUUUGAUGAGACAUCCUGAGUUCAAAGACGGUACGCAAAGGAGGGGUGCUGUUGAGAGUGAGAGUUCAGUGAAGGCUGUAUUAGCUCUGGCUACGUCCUCAGCGGUAAACAAAGUGUCCGCUUUAUGCAGAGGCCACAGGGGUUCACUUCUCAGAGAUGCUGUGCUGCUGGGUGCUCUGUCAGUGGGACAGUGCUUACACGUGCCAGUGUCUGUAGCUUCACCAUCAAAAUAGGGCCCAACGGUGUGGGAAGCCUUCUUAAUUAACCAUCCCCUGGGGUUUCGUAGUGAUUAAUCCCAAAAAACAGGGGAAAUAAUUUUAUAAAUGAUAAACAUGAUUGUUUGCUUAUCACUUCUAACACCUUGCACAGAAAGAAUGAGUUUCGGAAUGAACUCCAUCACAUCAAAAAUCCAAUCCUUCCUCAAGAAUAGUUUCUCUGAAUCAUUAAAAAUGUGAGCCUGUUUACCCCUCCUCAGUCUCUCCCACUUCUCUCCCACUAAUGCUGCCAUAUCUACAUCUGUUCCAAACUUUCACCAUGACGUCACCUGUUCCGCAACAUUUUUGUUUCUUUUGGUUUUCUCUUUUUAGGGCCACAACUGUGGCAGAGGGAAGUUCCCAGGCUAGGGGGCAAGUGGAGCUGCAGCUGCUGGCCUACACCACAGCCACAACAAUGCCAGAUCUGAGCCGCAUCUACGACCUACACCUUCUGCCCGAUUCUUGACCCACUGAGCAAAGCCAGGGAUCAAAUCCACAUCCUCACAGAGGCACUGUUGUGUCCUUAACCCACUGACCAAAGUGGGAACUCCUUAACCAUCUUCUUCAUUCAAUUGUUAAAUGAUUUUUUAUUUUCCUAGGUUCUAAUUUUUUAACUUUCCAUUCAACUCAUUCAUACAAAUGCCAAAAUAUUUUCCUUUGGACUCUUUCAACAUCCAAAAGGUCUCUUUCUCACAAAAUGGAUGUUCAAAAUCAGAAGAGUGAUUUUGAAGAUUGGGUACAAGUAAAUCUUUGAAUAGAUCCCAUUGGAGUAUCUGCUUCUGUGACUCAGCAACACCUGCCAACAUCAUCAUGAGGAGCAAAAGUGACUACAUUUAUUGAGCAACUGCUCUAAGAAAUAGCAUGGGAUGAGAAGUUUUCAGCACCUUUUAUCUCAAAAAAAAUUAGAAAGAUGAGAAAGAUGACGCUCAGGAAGUAAGAUGCCCAAGGUUUCACAAGAGGUGAGUGGCAAAGUCAGGCACAGGAAGAGGGGAAGGCUGAAUUUCUGGUUUGAAGCUGAAAGAUCUCUCGUCUUUCCAAAAAUGACAUUAAUUUUUACGAUUUGGUCUAAAAGGUACUCUCCAAAUGGAAACCAUCUUUAACUAAUUAAGAACAUUUAUUUCUAUUUUGGUAAUAGCAGUAAACACAGAAUUAUCUAUCUUUCACAUUCUUUAAAUAAAUCCUUUACCCAAAGAGUGGAUGAACAUUUGGAGCGUGUGAGUGUGUGUGUGUAAGAGAGAGAGAGAGGGGAGGGGAGAGAAAGAGACAUAUAGACAGACAGACAGAUUCCAAACCUGCAAUUUUACUCCUCUCUUAAAAAAUGCUUCUACUACAAAGUCAUUCUGAGAAUGGAGUGCCUCCUCAUGUUCCUUCAGAGAAAAAAGAAACAGACAUGAAGAAAAAUGGUGAUUUAAAGAAAGUAAUUCACACACGACAGCUCGACUUACUCCUUUUUCUUUCCCACGUGUUCUGAUAGUAAGAGCAUCCAUUCCUUCAACAGUCCAGAAACAAUUGAUGCCACACAUCAUGUGCGAAUCCAACUGACAAGACACACCAUCUGCAGCGACCAUGAAAGGCCCGCUUGGAAGACCAAGCGCACCUGCCAUCAAAGCUCAAGGCAAGAAAAUAUGCCAAGAUGCACAGCUACAUUUUUAGUACAUACACUUUACUUAUUUUGCCAGUAGAGAAAACGGUCAAAGUGAGAGGACAUAAUGAAAGCCUAGUGCUCUGCUCAGAACAAAGGACGAGCAAUAAAGACUUCGAGUCUGAUUUUUGGAUCUGUGUGAUAUGGCUUAUGGUCUUAAUCAGCAGAAACUUAAGGAAUCUAAAACAGACUGUGGAUGAAUACACAUUCCUUUUAAAUAUUUCAGAAAGCUUUGUGGCUUUUGACAGUAUUCAUAAACUUAAGUAGGGAUAAAGAGACAGCUUUGUUGUCUGAGGAAGCAUGAAGAAGUAAGGUUGCCACUGAUCACUACAUUAUGCCAACAUAAUAAACUACUUUUUCAAAAGGGAGCAAAGUAAAAUAAAAUGAUUUUAUGAAGGAAGUGUAUUGUGCCAAAAGCACAAGAUGGUAUACUAAACACUAAACUGCACUCUGGAAGCAUCUGACAUACUACUAACCUGGCUUAUAAAACGUAUUUUCAGUGAUUAUCGUAACAAGAUUCUCAUUUUGUGAGCAAAUCUCCCGAGUCAACCUUUAUGUCCUUAGAUUUCAAAGCUACACUUUUUGGUUACGUAAUACAGAGCUUAUCCUGACGAUGCAACAAUAAAAGAAACAUAAGCUCUUUGGGUACUAGCAGGAACUUCUACCAGGCUACUGACAAUCAACUGAUAUUUUAUGUGCUUUCAGUUCUUGAUUUGUAAAUGAGGCUAAUGGUAUUUACUGCCUUACCUUUCCUCCUUUCUUCUGCCUUUAUUUCUCUGAGGCAUCACAAGAUCAAUGAAUAAAUCUUAUAAAAUACUAAGCCAAAAGUAAUAUUCAAGGAUUACAAUCAAUUUUUUAUUAAGGGGGUAUUGCUUCAAGCUAUUUUGCUAAUGUACGAGACACCAUAUAAAUGUGUUAAAAAGCACACUGGAACAGUUUAGAAAUGAUUUUAACCCAACAGAUUAUAACUGCCUAGCACUUUAGUUUUAUGAAUGUUUUCCAUUUGUCUCUUUUAUUUAAAUUAAAAUACUAAAUGACAAUCAGUAAAACCAAUUAAAGAAUCAUUGUUUAAUUAUACUAUUACGCAUAGAUGAACAAAUGAAAGGCAUAUUCCAUUUGGAUUAGACAAAACAAUAUGUAGAGUACUUUAUAUUUCCCUUAUGUUUUAAGAGUAACUGACUAUCAAGAGGUUUAAAAUCAUUUCAAAUAAAUACUAUAUGAGUUAACUACUGCUCGGUAAAACAAACGAUCCCCAAACCGAGUGGCUUAAGACCAUGAACACUUAUUAUUUUGUAGUUUCUGCGGGUCAUGACUUUGGGAGCAAGUCAUUUAGCUGGGGGGUUCCAGCUCAGCAUCUCUCAUGGUGCUGUGUCCAGAUGGUGGCCAGGGUCUGCAGCCAUCUGAAGACUCGGCUGUGGCGGAGUGAUUCACUUCCUAGAUGGCUUCCUCACAUAGUCUACACUGUGUAAGUCCCUUCCCGAGUGUUCCUUUCCAUAAGGGCUGCUCCUGAGACAGCUGCAUCUUCAUGAAAUGGCAGUUUCCUGACCCAGGCUUGGCGUGGAUCUCCGUCUCUGUCUGACAGCUGCAUCCUCUUGGUCACAUAGGUCAGCCCUACUCCAUGUGAGAUGGAACUGAAGGGCCUGACUACAAAGGGGCAGGGAUCACUGGGGAUCAUGUGGAAGUUGGCCACUACAAUCACUUAGAAGAUGGUCAAAACUUAAGAGCUGUCUUACCUACCCUAGAAAAUUCAAUAGUCAGCUGUCCAAAGAGCUUCCAGUAGGUGUGGAACUCACUGAGCAAACCUGUGAAAAGUGUCAAAGAUAAUGGUACAGAAGGUGUCCUCAAGAAGCUCCCAAGAAUGAGCAAGAUAAAUGAUUAUUCGGAAUCAUGUCAAUGUUCAAAUGGAUUCCAACACACUGCUACUGAAUUACAAAAAAAGUCAUUACACUAGCGAAGAGUUAAAAGAAUCAGGAAUUUAAGUCCAUUAGAACUAGCUUAGGACUAUAAAAUAUAAAAGAAAUAAAAGACGCUGAGCUGUUUUUCCCAUCAUCCUAACAUGACCGUUAAUAAGAGGUCUUUGAAAAGGAGGAGCACGACUGCACAGGGUGUGCCCUCAUACGACGGUGUCUGCACAGACGGCAGCCUCGAGGGCAGGAAGACCUGGCGUCCCUGUCCAGUUCUGAUACUUCCUGAGUCAACACAGACAAGUUGCAAUACUUCUGAGACCAGUUUCCCUACCUGCAAAAUUGGCCUACUGUUAUCACAGGAGUCCCAGAAGCCUAAGUAUAUGUUGGAGAUAAUAUCACGUCUUACCAGUGUUUGGAAGGGGUAUGCUUUAUUUUUAAAUAUUAUACUUAAAUCACCAGGACAGCUGAGCAUUCACCAAGAAUUGCCUAAGGAUGAUUAGACCCAUUCUCUCGUAUAAAUAAAACAGCUAACAUGAGAAUGAAAAAAAUCCAUUAAAUAAAACUUGGGCUUUGAUAUUAUUUGAAAAGAAGCAAAAGGAAGUAGGAAAUGCCCAGGCUUCCUUCAGUCUGGGAUCAAAAGGAAUGCAAAAUUAGACAAGACUAUCACAUAGUUUUCAAGGAAAAAUAAGGUUCUCAUUUAAAAUCAAUACUUUGUGAAAACAGUAUAAAAAAACUUCACGAAGCAUUUCUAACAGCAAAAUAACCUUUUAUAAAGUAUAGAGAGUUGGGGCCUGGGAAAUACGGAUUAAAAAAUAAAUACUACAUUUUAAAAUAUUUCGAUAAUACCUGUUUCUAUAUCACAGACUGCACACAAUAGAAAAGGUAAUACUUGUGCUGGAAUGCCCUUCGCCCUGCUUCUUCACCUCACCGUCCUUUUGAAUGACCUAGUCCUACCGGUCUCAGCUCAGAGCUCAUUCUUUCCAAAAAGAGUUAUGCUGUUAACCCCUCAUCAAGACUAAGUGCCACUCUCCCGAAUGAGCAUUGCACCCUUAAUCGUAAUGCUGUUGGUGCAGAUAACUAUAAAAUCCACUACGACUAACAUUCUUUAAGCACUCACUACUAUGCACCAAGCACUGAGGUAGGUGCUUUGCCUCUGAUUUUAUCUAACCUUACCAAAAAGGGUGUGAAAGCAGGCAGUACUAUUUCUACCAGUUUACAUAUGAUGAAACCGAGUUACUGACUGUUGAAGAUCACAUAGCCAGAAAUGCUAGAACCAGUCACUGAAUCAGGCAAUCUGACGCUAAAACACAUACUCUUUAAGUGCUGAGUGAAUAGUGUCUCAUCUUAUUUAUUUUAAGAUACUCAUUACAUAGGCCAGUGCCUGGUCUACAAAGGUGCUCCAUUCCAUUUUUUUUUAAAUAAGUGAUUUAAAAUAUAAUAGUGAUAAAUAUUUUAAAUCUUAAUUAAAAGUGCCUUCUCACUAAUAGAGUCAGACUGACAAAAAGUUUCUAAAGAAUACAGGGCUCUUAGUGCCGCAAUAACGGAUGACACUUGUAAUAUAAAGGCUCUGUGUUCAAAAGGCAUCCAUGCCCAGACUUCCUUUUCCUACAGAUCAACAGUCCUCAGCCAGCGGUGAGUUUUGCCCCUCCGGUGCCCUUUGGCAAUGGCCGGAGCCACUUUCAGUCGCCGCAGGGAAGAGGGUAGUGCUACUGACAUCUAGUGGAUAAAGCGAGGGAUGCUGCAAAGCAACACACCCGUGGAAAAGAGCCACCCACAGCAAAGACUGUGCAACUUAAAAUGUCCGUGACACCACAGAGCAAGUUGGUCUUGAAUGUAUAUUCCCUCUGAAACUUUAGUAUACUGACUCACACUUAAUAAAUCUCCACCGACCUUCAAAUUCCAUAAUGUUUUAUAUCCUAAGUCUCGAAGGACAAGAGAGAGAUACCAAUGCUUUGGAAAGUGAACCAAUGCCGGGAAGAUAAACACUGACCUCCGAGAACAUUAAGACAACAAAAGCAAAGUUGGCCAGAAGGAGAGUUAUUCGCUGAAGGCACCUACUUGGUUCAGGCCAUGGGCUGGGCAUCUACAAACAUUUUAGCACCACAUACAUUUCACACAAGACGGGGUCAAGGUUUGGAAAGGCCGAGCAGCUUUGCUGGGGUCACAGGCUGAAUGAAGUAACAAGGCCCAGACACACAGGUGCCGGGUCCAGAGCCCAAGCUCUCCCUUUGCAUGAUCACACAUUCAUGUUUUAUGAGAGAAGCUGAGCCAGAAGAUCAGGCCCCCUGGUAUCAAAUCAGCAAACAGGUGCCAGGUCAACUUGGUGUGUAGUUAAAUAAUGGAUUCUUGGAAGAAAGACCCUGCAGUUCCCAGUGGACAAAAAGACCAACCCGCAGAGAAGUGACAAAGCUUCCGUGAACUGUCAAGGGAAACACAGAAACAAAUGGCAGCAUAUGUGAGUUUAGACUCUAAAGAGGCCAUUUAUCCUCUACAGACUCCUUCC
rnacentral:lncRNA from 1 species